GCCCGCUCAGAAACUCAAAUGAAUUGACGGACCCGCACAAGCGGUGGAUCAUGUUGUUUAAUUCGAUGAUACGCGAAGAACCUUACCAGGUCUUGACACUCCCCCGCGAUGCUUUAGAGAUAAAGCGGAGGUAUUCGGGGAGACAGGUGGUGCAUGGUUGUCGUCAGCUCAUGUCGUGAGAUGUUGGGUUAAGUCCCGCAACGAGCGCAACCCCUAUUGCUAGUUACCAUCAUUAAGUUGGGGACUCUAGCGAGACUGCCAGUGAUAAACUGGAGGAAGGUGGGGAUGACGUCAAAUCAUCAUGCCCCUUAUGACCUGGGCUACAAACGUGAUACAAUGGCUGGAACAAAGGGAUGCGAAGCAGUGAUGUGGAGCGAAACCCAUAAAAACAGUCUCAGUUCGGAUUGAAGUCUGCAACUCGACUUCAUGAAGUCGGAAUCGCUAGUAAUCGCGGAUCAGAACGCCGCGGUGAAUACGUUCUCGGGGUUU
rnacentral:rRNA from 1 species